rnacentral:rRNA from 1 species
GAUCAACGCUGGCGGCGUGCCUAAUGCAUGCAAGUCGAACGGGGUUCCCUUCGGGGGAUUCACGUGGCGGACGGGUGAGGAACACGUGGGCGAUUUGCCCCGAGGUGGGGGAUAGCCACCAGAAAUGGUGGGUAAGACCGCAUGAGCUCGGUGGUUUACGGACUAUCGAGGAAAACCUCGUAAGAGGUGCCUUGGGAGGAGCCUGCGGCGGAUUAGCUAGCUGGUGGGUAACGCCUACCAGGGCGAUGAUCCGUAGCUGGUCUGAGAGGAUGGCCAGCCACAGGGGAACUGAGACACGGUCCCCACUCCUACGGGAGGCAGCAGCAAGGAAUUUUCCGCAAUGGGCGAAAGCCUGACGGAGCAACGCCGCGUGGGGGAUGACGCUUUUCGGAGUGUAAACCCCUUUUCUCAGGGACGAAACAAUGACGGUACCUGAGGAAUAAGGACCGGCUAACUACGUGCCAGCAGCCGCGGUAAUGUGUG